GGUAGUCCACGCCGUAAACGAUGUCGACUUGGAGGUUGUGCCCUUGAGGCGUGGCUUCCGGAGCUAACGCGUUAAGUCGACCGCCUGGGGAGUACGGCCGCAAGGUUAAAACUCAAAUGAAUUGACGGGGGCCCGCACAAGCGGUGGAGCAUGUGGUUUAAUUCGAUGCAACGCGAAGAACCUUACCUACUCUUGACAUCCAGAGAACUUAGCAGAGAUGCUUUGGUGCCUUCGGGAACUCUGAGACAGGUGCUGCAUGGCUGUCGUCAGCUCGUGUUGUGAAAUGUUGGGUUAAGUCCCGCAACGAGCGCAACCCUUAUCCUUUGUUGCCAGCGGUUAGGCCGGGAACUCAAAGGAGACUGCCAGUGAUAAACUGGAGGAAGGUGGGGAUGACGUCAAGUCAUCAUGGCCCUUGCGAGUAGGGCUACACACGUGCUACAAUGGCGCAUACAAAGAGAAGCGACCUCGCGAGAGCAAGCGGACCUCAUAAAGUGCGUCGUAGUCCGGAUUGGAGUCUGCAACUCGACUCCAUGAAGUCGGAAUCGCUAGUAAUCGUAGAUCAGAAUGCUACGGUGAAUACGUUCCCGGGCCUUGUACACACCGCCCGUCACACCAUGGGAGUGGGUUGCAAAAGAAGUAGGUAGCUUAACCUUCGGGAGGGCGCUUACCACUUUGUGAUUCAUGACUGGGGUGAAGUCGUAACAAGGUAACCGUAGGGGAACCUGC
rnacentral:rRNA from 1 species